rnacentral:rRNA from 1 species
GGAUGAACGCUAGCUACAGGCUUAACACAUGCAAGUCGAGGGGCAGCAUUUCAGUUUGCUUGCAAACUGGAGAUGGCGACCGGCGCACGGGUGAGUAACACGUAUCCAACCUGCCGAUAACUCGGGGAUAGCCUUUCGAAAGAAAGAUUAAUACCCGAUGGUAUAAUCAGACCGCAUGGUCUUGUUAUUAAAGAAUUUCGGUUAUCGAUGGGGAUGCGUUCCAUUAGGCAGUUGGUGAGGUAACGGCUCACCAAACCUUCGAUGGAUAGGGGUUCUGAGAGGAAGGUCCCCCACAUUGGAACUGAGACACGGUCCAAACUCCUACGGGAGGCAGCAGUGAGGAAUAUUGGUCAAUGGGCGCAGGCCUGAACCAGCCAAGUAGCGUGAAGGAUGACUGCCCUAUGGGUUGUAAACUUCUUUUAUAUGGGAAUAAAGUUUUCCACGUGUGGAAUUUUGUAUGUACCAUAUGAAUAAGGAUCGGCUAACUCCGUGCCAGCAGCCGCGGUAAUACGGAGGAUCCGAGCGUUAUCCGGAUUUAUUGGGUUUAAAGGGAGCGUAGGUGGACAGUUAAGUCAGUUGUGAAAGUUUGCGGCUCAACCGUAAAAUUGCAGUUGAUACUGGCUGUCUUGAGUACAGUAGAGGUGGGCGGAAUUCGUGGUGUAGCGGUGAAAUGCUUAGAUAUCACGAAGAACUCCGAUUGCGAAGGCAGCUCACUGGACUGCAACUGACACUGAUGCUCGAAAGUGUGGGUAUCAAACAGGAUUAGAUACCCUGGUAGUCCACACAGUAAACGAUGAAUACUCGCUGUUUGCGAUAUACAGUAAGCGGCCAAGCGAAAGCAUUAAGUAUUCCACCUGGGGAGUACGCCGGCAACGGUGAAACUCAAAGGAAUUGACGGGGGCCCGCACAAGCGGAGGAACAUGUGGUUUAAUUCGAUGAUACGCGAGGAACCUUACCCGGGCUUAAAUUGCAUUUGAAUAUAUUGGAAACAGUAUAGCCGUAAGGCAAAUGUGAAGGUGCUGCAUGGUUGUCGUCAGCUCGUGCCGUGAGGUGUCGGCUUAAGUGCCAUAACGAGCGCAACCCUUAUCUUUAGUUACUAACAGGUCAUGCUGAGGACUCUAGAGAGACUGCCGUCGUAAGAUGUGAGGAAGGUGGGGAUGACGUCAAAUCAGCACGGCCCUUACGUCCGGGGCUACACACGUGUUACAAUGGGGGGUACAGAAGGCAGCUACCUGGUGACAGGAUGCUAAUCCCAAAAGCCUCUCUCAGUUCGGAUCGAAGUCUGCAACCCGACUUCGUGAAGCUGGAUUCGCUAGUAAUCGCGCAUCAGCCAUGGCGCGGUGAAUACGUUCCCGGGCCUUGUACACACCGCCCGUCAAGCCAUGAAAGCCGGGGGUACCUGAAGUACGUAACCGCAAGGAGCGUCCUAGGGUAAAACUG